rnacentral:misc_RNA from 1 species
UUGAAUUCUUGUUACACAAGUACAAUAAACAAUUGAAAACGCAUCCUUGCUAGGAUUUUAUGUUAACUCAUUAAAAUCCCAAUUACGACACAUACUAAUACUAUGCAAGUGAGUGCUAGGUGGCAAAAGUAUGUCAACAAAAUGAGCACAGGUAAGAUAAGAUCAACAUGUAGAAACACAAGAAUGGAUGAGAUAAUAAAA